rnacentral:rRNA from 1 species
GAAUUCGCCCUUAGAGUUUGAUCCUGGCUCAGGACGAACGCUGGCGGCGUGCUUAACACAUGCAAGUCGAGCGAAGUGCUUAGGAUGAUCUAUUCGUAGUGACUCCUAAGUAUCUUAGCGGCGGACGGGUGAGUAACGCGUGAGAAACCUGCCUUUCACAAAGGAAUAGCCUCGGGAAACUGGGAUUAAUACCUUAUGAUACCUUAACUCCACAUGGAGCCUAGGUUAAAGCGUAAAGCGGUGAAAGAUGGUCUCGCGUCCCAUUAGUUAGUUGGUGAGGUAAAGGCUCACCAAGACCAUGAUGGGUAACCGGCCUGAGAGGGUGAACGGUCACACUGGAACUGAGACACGGUCCAGACUCCUACGGGAGGCAGCAGUGGGGAAUAUUGCACAAUGGAGGAAACUCUGAUGCAGCGACGCCGCGUGAAUGAUGAAGGUCUUCGGAUCGUAAAAUUCUGUCCUAGGGGACGAUAAUGACGGUACCCUAGGAGGAAGCCCCGGCUAACUAUGUGCCAGCAGCCGCGGUAAUACAUAGGGGGCAAGCGUUGUCCGGAUUUAUUGGGCGUAAAGGGUACGCAGGCGGUCCUUUAAGUCAGAUGUGAAAUCUUACGGCUCAACCGUAAUUAGCAUUUGAAACUGGAGGACUUGAGUUAAGGAGAGGAAAGUGGAAUUCCUAGUGUAGCGGUGAAAUGCGUAGAUAUUAGGAGGAAUACCAGUGGCGAAGGCGACUUUCUGGACUUAUACUGACGCUGAGGUACGAAAGCGUGGGGAGCAAACAGGAUUAGAUACCCUGGUAGUCCACGCUGUAA